rnacentral:lncRNA from 1 species
CUCAAGCUCUUGCUCUUUUUACUGCAGCACACUGCCUCUACCAAGGGGAGCUUUGGAAUUAGACCUGGAAGUUCUGAUCUCAUUCCAUUGCUUCAGCAAUUCAACACAAAGGCUCUGGUCCAACCCUUUUCCUUUUGGGUCUCAAAUUUGUACAUCUCUAGAACAAUACUUAACAGAACUCAGACUUUCAGCCUCCAUUCACAGCCUCUAAAAUCUCUGCUGGAAAUUUUUUUGAUGGUACGUAUUCUUGUCUUUGUCACAGCUGAAGGUAAUAGGAAGCAUGUUUGGAACAGACUUGGAGGAAACAGCUCUUCUGGCAUGUCCAAUAGCCCAGAUCUCCAGGUGGUAAUGGUUAGCCAACUGGCAAAGAACGACUUCAUUGAUUAUUGAUUGUUGAUGGAAUCAAUUACAGUGUUCAUGAUUACUACAUUUUUAGAGUGUUUGGAAAAAUAGGCCAAAGAAAUGCCAUAAAAAUGUGUUAUGUUCCCAGGGUAAUGUUCUGUUUAGCCCUAGGCCACUGCAGAGACUCAGUUUUGGCUGACAAGGCAGUUGUUAUAACAGUAAUGGGAAUAACAGUAAAUGUGCAGUCUACCACUGAUUCUUAUUUUC